rnacentral:rRNA from 1 species
CUUCCAGGAAAAGCCUCUAAGCUUCAGAUAGUCAGGAAUCGUACCCCAAACCGACACAGGUGGUCGGGUAGAGAAUACCAAGGCGCUUGAGAGAACUCGGGUGAAGGAACUAGGCAAAAUGGUACCGUAACUUCGGGAGAAGGUACGCUCUUGAUGGUGAAGUCCCUCGCGGAUGGAGCUGACGAGAGUCGCAGAUACCAGGUGGCUGCAACUGUUUAUUAAAAACACAGCACUGUGCAAAAUCGCAAGAUGACGUAUACGGUGUGACGCCUGCCCGGUGCCGGAAGGUUAAUUGAUGGGGUUAGCGCAAGCGAAGCUCUUGAUCGAAGCCCCGGUAAACGGCGGCCGUAACUAUAACGGUCCUAAGGUAGCGAAAUUCCUUGUCGGGUAAGUUCCGACCUGCACGAAUGGCGUAAUGAUGGCCACGCUGUCUCCACCCGAGACUCAGUGAAAUUGAAAUCGCUGUGAAGAUGCAGUGUACCCGCGGCUAGACGGAAAGACCCCGUGAACCUUUACUACAGCUUGGCACUGAACAUUGAACCUACAUGUGUAGGAUAGGUGGGAGGCUAUGAAGACGUGACGCCAGUUGCGUUGGAGCCGUCCUUGAAAUACCACCCUUGUAUGUUUGAUGUUCUAACUUAGACCCGUUAUCCGGGUUGAGGACAGUGCCUGGUGGGUAGUUUGACUGGGGCGGUCUCCUCCCAAAGAGUAACGGAGGAGCACGAAGGUGGGCUAAUCACGGUUGGACAUCGUGAGGUUAGUGCAAUGGCAUAAGCCCGCUUAACUGCGAGAAUGACGGUUCGAGCAGGUGCGAAAGCAGGUCAUAGUGAUCCGGUGGUUCUGUAUGGAAGGGCCAUCGCUCAACGGAUAAAAGGUACUCCGGGGAUAACAGGCUGAUACCGCCCAAGAGUUCAUAUCGACGGCGGUGUUUGGCACCUCGAUGUCGGCUCAUCACAUCCUGGGGCUGAAGUCGGUCCCAAGGGUAUGGCUGUUCGCCAUUUAAAGUGGUACGCGAGCUGGGUUUAGAACGUCGUGAGACAGUUCGGUCCCUAUCUGCCGUGGGCGUUGGAAGAUUGAAGGGGGCUGCUCCUAGUACGAGAGGACCGGAGUGGACGAACCUCUGGUGUUCGGGUUGUGUCGCCAGACGCAUUGCCCGGUAGCUAAGUUCGGAAUUGAUAAGCGCUGAAAGCAUCUAAGCG